AGAGUUUGAUCAUGGCUCAGAAUGAACGUUGGCGGCGUGGAUUAGGCAUGCAAGUCGAGCGAGAACCCGCAAGGGGGACAGCGGCAAACGGGGUAGUAACGGGUAGGUGACGUACCCUCGGGUUGGGGAUAGCCACGGGAAACUGUGGGUAAUACCCAAUAAUCUCCUGGAGCGUGAUGUUUCGGGAGCAAAGGUGUGAUUCCACCGGAGGAGCGGCCUGCCUCGUAUUAGCUAGUUGGUGAGGUAACGGCUCACCAAGGCAUCGACGCGUAGGGGGUGUGAGAGCAUGACCCCCACCACUGGGACUGAGAUACUGCCCAGACACCUACGGGUGGCUGCAGUCGAGAAUCUUCGGCAAUGGGCGCAAGCCUGACCGAGCGACGCCGCGUGUGGGAUGAAGGCCCUUGGGUUGUAAACCACUGUCAGAGGGGAUGAAGUGCAUCAGAGCAAUCUCUGGUGUUUGACAUAGCCUCAGAGGAAGCACGGGCUAAGUUCGUGCCAGCAGCCGCGGUAAUAC
rnacentral:rRNA from 1 species